rnacentral:rRNA from 1 species
GACGAACGCUGGCGGCGUGCUUAACACAUGCAAGUCGAACGGUGAAGCGCCUUCCUUUUUGGUGGGUGUGGAUGAGUGGCGAACGGGUGAGUAACACGUGAGUAACCUGCCCCCUUCUUCUGGAUAACCGCAUGAAAGUGUGGCUAAUACGGGAUAUUCUGGGUCUGUCGCAUGAUGGGUCUGGGAAAGAUAUUGUUUCGGUGGGGGAUGGGCUCGCGGCCUAUCAGCUUGUUGGUGGGGUGAUGGCCUACCAAGGCGGUGACGGGUAGCCGGCCUGAGAGGGGGGUGGGUGCACGGGGGACGGAGAACCCGGCCACAGCCGUGAGGGAGGAGGGGGGGGGGAAUUUGGAAGGAGGGGGGCAGGACUGAGCCGGGGACGCCGGGUGAGGGAGGGCGGCCGUGGGGUGGGGACCCUUUUUGGCGAGGAAAGCGGGCCGGCCGCGUUUGGGGGGGGGUGGAGGGAAGCGGGGAAAAAGGCCCCGGUAAACUAGGU